GACGAACGCUGGCGGCGUGCCUAAUACAUGCAAGUAGAACGCUGAAGGAGGAGCUUGCUUCUCUGGAUGAGUUGCGAACGGGUGAGUAACGCGUAGGUAACCUGCCUGGUAGCGGGGGAUAACUAUUGGAAACGAUAGCUAAUACCGCAUAAGAGUGGAUGUUGCAUGACAUUUGCUUAAAAGGUGCACUUGCAUCACUACCAGAUGGACCUGCGUUGUAUUAGCUAGUUGGUGGGGUAACGGCUCACCAAGGCGACGAUACAUAGCCGACCUGAGAGGGUGAUCGGCCACACUGGGACUGAGACACGGCCCAGACUCCUACGGGAGGCAGCAGUAGGGAAUCUUCGGCAAUGGACGGAAGUCUGACCGAGCAACGCCGCGUGAGUGAAGAAGGUUUUCGGAUCGUAAAGCUCUGUUGUAAGAGAAGAACGAGUGUGAGAGUGGAAAGUUUCAC
rnacentral:rRNA from 1 species